UACGUAGGGACCAAGCGUUGUCGGAUUUACUGGGCGUAAAGGGCGCGUAGGCGGCGUGGUAAGUCAGCUGUGAAAUCUCCGAGCUUAACUCGGAACGGUCAGCUGAUACUGCUGUGCUAGAGUGCAGAAGGGGCAAUCGGAAUUCUUGGUGUAGCGGUGAAAUGCGUAGAUAUCAAGAGGAACACCUGAGGUGAAGACGGGUUGCUGGGCUGACACUGACGCUGGAGGCGCGGAAAAGCUAGGGUAGCAAACGGG
rnacentral:rRNA from 1 species